ensembl:ncRNA F10C1.14 ncRNA
CUGAUAAGUCACCAUAAAAGAGAGUGGAAUCGAGCAUUGCCAACUGAUAACCCUCUUUCUUUGCUCUCUCAAAAUGCCAUUGUAAAAUCAAACCUACUACUCCGCGUUUUGUACG